UGUCAGAGUUGGUUGUAGCUGGUCUCUGGGAUUAAUUUCUUUGGAGACAAUGUGCACACCUUCUCUUUCAUCCACUCACCCCUGUGCACUUGUGAGGCAGGUUAGUUGGAGGACUUUAUUAAUUUAUUGGACUCCCUCUGUCUACUUAAUUUACACAAACUCCAAUUGAUUUUAAAACGAAUGUAAUUGAUGUAACGCAUCUAAUACUAAGUUUCAACAACGGAUCUCUUGGCUCUCGCAUCGAUGAAGAACGCAGCGAAAUGCGAUAAGUAAUGUGAAUUGCAGAAUUCAGUGAAUCAUCGAAUCUUUGAACGCACCUUGCGCUCCUUGGUAUUCCUUGGAGCAUGCCUGUUUGAGUAUCAUGAAAUCUUCAAAGUAAAAUCUUUUUGUUAAUUCAAUUGGUUUUCUACUUUGGUAUUGAGUCUUUGCAGUUUCACACCUGCUCCUCUUUGUAUAUUAGCUGGAUCUCAGUGUUAUGCUUGGUUCCACUCGGCGUGAUAAGUUAUCUAUCGCUGAGGACACCCGUAAAAAAGGUGGCCAAGGUAAAUGCAGAUGAACCGCUUCUAAUAGUCCAUUGACUUGGACAAUAAAAAUUAUUUUAUGAUCUGAUCUCAAAUCAAGUAGGACUACCCGCUGAACUUAAG
rnacentral:rRNA from 1 species